rnacentral:lncRNA from 1 species
CCCACCAUACCUGCUUCUCUUAGAGAUGCUAUCUGGGUACAUGAAGAAAGGUUCUACCCUCUGGGGCCUCGUAGUAGAAUGAAAAGAUGAAAGAUGAUGUCUGUGAGUUUGCCUGGAAUCUUCUGGAACAUCCCCAUUGUCUGCUCUGAAGUGGCUGCCCUGGGAUACAUCAACUGUAGGGCUAGUGACUCAGAGACGACAUCGCUUGCCCUGGGUCUCAUCACAAUCCAAGCAAAACUUGAGCCCAGUCAAAGUAAAAGAGGAUGCACAGAAACACCAACAGUGCCUGUGGG